AUUGAACACUGGCGGCAGGCCUAACACAUGCAAGUCGAGCGGGUGAAGGGAGCUUGCUCCUGGAUUCAGCGGCGGACGGGUGAGUAAUGCCUAGGAAUCUGCCUGGUAGUGGGGGAUAACGUCCGGAAACGGGCGCUAAUACCGCAUACGUCCUGAGGGAGAAAGUGGGGGAUCUUCGGACCUCACGCUAUCAGAUGAGCCUAGGUCGGAUUAGCUAGUUGGUGGGGUAAAGGCCUACCAAGGCGACGAUCCGUAACUGGUCUGAGAGGAUGAUCAGCCACACUGGAACUGAGACACGGUCCAGACUCCUACGGGAGGCAGCAGUGGGGAAUAUUGGACAAUGGGCGAAAGCCUGAUCCAGCCAUGCCGCGUGUGUGAAGAAGGUCUUCGGAUUGUAAAGCACUUUAAGUUGGGAGGAAGGGCAGUAAGUUAAUACCUUGCUGUUUUGACGUUACCAACAGAAUAAGCACCGGCUAACUUCGUG
rnacentral:rRNA from 1 species